rnacentral:rRNA from 1 species
CGGACGGGUGAGUAACGCGUGAGAAUCUGCCCUUAGGAGGGGGACAACAGUUGGAAACGACUGCUAAUACCCCAUAUGCCGAGAGGUGAAACAUUAAUGGCCUGAGGAGGAGCUCGCGUCUGAUUAGCUAGUUGGUGGGGUAACGGCCUACCAAGGCGACGAUCAGUAGCUGGUCUGAGAGGAUGAUCAGCCACACUGGGACUGAGACACGGCCCAGACUCCUACGGGAGGCAGCAGUGGGGAAUUUUCCGCAAUGGGCGAAAGCCUGACGGAGCAAGACCGCGUGAGGGAGGAAGGUCUGUGGAUUGUAAACCUCUUUUCUCAGGGAAGAAGAACUGAUGGUACCUGAGGAAUCAGCAUCGGCUAACUCCGUGCCAGCAGCCGCGGUAAUACGGAGGAUGCAAGCGUUAUCCGGAAUUAUUGGGCGUAAAGCGUCCGUAGGUGGCUAAGCAAGUCUGCUGUUAAAGAGCGGAGCUAAACUCCGUAAAGGCGGUGGAAACUGCAUAGCUAGAGUGUGGUAGGGGUAGAGGGAAUUCCCAGUGUAGCGGCGAAAUGCGUAGAUAUUGGGAAGAACACCGGUGGCGAAGGCGCUCUACUGGGCCACAACUGACACUGAUGGACGAAAGCUAGGGGAGCGAAAGGGAUUAGAUACCCCUGUAGUC